AGUUCGAUUCUGGCCUAGAUUGAACGCUGGCGGGAUGCUUUACACAUGCAAGUCGAACGGCAGCACGGACUUCGGUCUGGUGGCGAGGGCGAACGGGUGAGUAAUGUAUCGGAACGUGCCUAGUAGCGGGGGAUAACUACGAAAGUUAUAGCUAAUACCGUAUAUUGCCCUUCGGGGAAAGCGGGGACCUUCGGGCCUCACCUAUUAGAGCGGCCGAUAUCGGAUUAGCUAGUUGGUGGGGUAACGGCUCACCACGAUGAUCCGUAGCUGGUUUGAGAGACGACCAGCCACACUGGGAUCUGGAGAUAUGGCCCACGACUCCUACGGGAGGCAAGGGGAAUUUUACUUGGGGAAACCCUGAUCCGCGCUGAUCCGGUGUGGUAUGAAGGCCUUCGGUUGUAAAGCACUUUUAGUGGGAAGAAACGGCACGGGAUAAUACCCCGCAACUGACGGUACGCAGAAUAAGCACCGGCUAACUACGUGCCAGCAGCCGCGGUAAUACGUAGGGUGCAAGCGUUAAUCGGAAUUACUGGGCGUAAAGCGUGCGGCAGGCGGUUCGGAAAGAAAGAUGUGAAAUCCCAGAGCUUAACUUUGAACUGCAUUUUUAACUACCGAGCUAGAGGCCAGAGGAGGUGGAAUUCCGCGUAGCAGUGAAAUGCGUAGAUAUGCGGAGGAACACCGAUGGCGAAGGCAGCCUCCUGGGAUAACACUGAUGCUCAUGCACGAAAGCGUGGGGAGCAAACAGGAUUAGAUACCCUGGUAGUCCACGCCUAAAACGAUGUCAACUAGCCGUUGGGGCCUUCGGGCCUUGGUAGCGCAGCUAACGCGGUGAAGUUGACCGCCUGGGGAGUACGGUCGCAAGAUUAAAACUCAAAGGAAUUGACGGGACCGCACGCCGGUGGAUGAUGUGGAUUAAUUCGAUGCAACGCGAAAACCUUACCUACCCUUGACAUGUCUGAAUCCAAAGACGGGGAGUGCUCGCAAGAGAACCGAACACAGGUGCUGCAUGGUUGUCGUCAGCUCGUGUCGUGAUGUUGGGUUAAGUCCCGCAACGAGCGCAACCCUUGUAUUACAUGCUACGAAGGCACUCUAUCGAGACUGCCGGUGACAAACCGGAGGAAGGUGGGGAUGACGUCAUCUCAUGGCCCUUAUGGGUAGGGCUUCUACAUCAUACAAUGGUCGGGACAGGAGGGUCGCCAACCCGCAGAGGAGCUAAUCCCAGAAACCCGAUCGUAGUCCGGAUCGCAGUCUGCAACUCGACUGCGUGAAGUCGGAAUCGCUAGUAAUCGCGGAUCAGCAUGUCGCGGUGAAUACGUUCCCGGGUCUUGUACACACCCUCGCCCGUCACACCGGCGGAGUGGGUUUUACCAGAAGUAGUUAGCCUAACCGUAAGGAGGGCGAUUACCACGGUAGGAUUCAUGCAGACUGGGUGAAGUCGUAACAAGGUAA
rnacentral:rRNA from 1 species